rnacentral:ncRNA from 2 species
ACCUUAUCAAGAGCGGCGGAGGGACUGGCCCGAUGAUGCCCGGCAACCACUGAUCAUGUCUAUGCAUGAACAGAAAGGUGCCAAUUCCUGCAAAACCUGUACCAUGGUUUUGACAGAUGAGGA